CCAGAGGGCAAGCGAGAGACUUCUUUUUGAGUGAAGACCUCUCGAGGCUGUUGUCUUCUGGAUCAAGGGCCAUAUCCAUUCAUGAUCUCAACAAGAGCCGGCAAAGGGGGUCCAUGGCCCGGAGCUAGCAGUCGAGGAGUGGGCUGUGACCUGGUUGAUGGGGGUUCCGGGAGCCCUGGAGCUACGUGACAAGCAGAUCACCAGCCCCUGAGAGGGGCCGCCCCUGGCCCGGCCUGUUGUUCUGGCUAUUCAGGGAACACCCCUGAGUGGCGGGGUCCCUGUGGGGGUCUCAGCGGGCAGAGGAGGGACACUUGUGAAUGCACACAGGAGGCAGGUCCCGGCGACUGGAGGAGGAGGACGUUCCAGCCCAUCCAGCUUCUCUCUGGAGCUUGGCAGAGCCUGGUGGUAGAACCACAUGGAAUCCGCGACUCCUGCCUGCUCUGAGAGUUGUGCUCACCAUUCCGGCUGGACACACACGCUCCACUUUUCCUGUCACUGGACUGGGAUGUUCAGAGGGCCGGGGGGGCUCAAGUGUUGACAGUUACACCUUCACCAGGUAGUCAUCCACAUGGGUGGGACUAGGAAGAGCAGAGGAGGGAAAGGGGAAGCAAGGGUGGAGGGAGGGCCACUCUUCGGACAGGCCCCGAGGGUGGGCCUUCAUGUGGAGACAGCACCUGCCUUCCCUUGACGCCCUGGGGCACAGGUGGCUCAGGACUCGGAAGGCCAGAUAAGGGAUGCCUCCUGGAGGCCUGUUGACCUCAUCCCCUGCUCCCACAAUCCCACUCCCAUGAUGAUAGAUGUGAAAGCGGAGUCCCAGAGAGGGGUAGUGAGUGACUCAAGGCCACACAAUGUCCUGCUCCUCGUCUGAGUGUAUUGCCCUGUGUCCUCCAGGCUCUGAUCUGCUCUAGCUCUCAGGCACUGUGAGGCACCUUCUGUCCCCCAGGGGUCCCCCGCAGGCCCUAGGCUGGGCCGUCUGCAGUGUCACAGCCUGGGGCCUGAAGACCUGCCCUCAGCCACCCUCUUCACAGGGAAGAAGAUUCAUGAGGCAGGUGAGUUACUUUAAAGGAACCUGCAGUCUUUUAUCACCUUGAUGGCUACAGUGGAUUUUGUUUCAGGGAAUAUCUGUAAGACUUUAAUUAAAUCAGGAACUCAGGCCCCGCCAGCUUCCCUGCUGCUUAUCAGCUUCUUAAGGCUGUGAUUCAUUACCCAGGAUUAUUUUUUUCAUCCCUGAAAUAAUCUUUAAAGGCCUUCUAUCAGGAAGAUUAAAGCUAUAAGUCAUACAUGCA
ensembl:lncRNA